rnacentral:rRNA from 1 species
UACAGAGGUGGCAAGCGUUGUUCGGAAUUACUGGGCGUAAGGGCGCGUAGGCGGCCUUCUAAGUCCGACGUGAAAUCCCCCGGCUUAACCUGGGAACUGCGUCUGAUACUGGGAGGCUAGAGUAUGGGAGAGGGAUGUAGAAUUCCAGGUGUAGCGGUGAAAUGCGUAGAUAUCUGGAGGAACACCCGUGGCGAAGGCGGCUCUCUGGGACGGUACUGACACUGAGACGCGAAAGCGUGGGGAGCGAACAGG